UGUAGGAAUAAGGACCGGCUAACUCCGUGCCAGCAGCCGCGGUAAUACGGAGGGUCCGAGCGUUAUCCGGAAUCAUUGGGUUUAAAGGGUCCGCAGGUGGGGUUCUAAGUCAGAGGUGAAAGGUUGCAGCUCAACUGUAGAAUUGCCUUUGAUACUGGAGCUCUUGAGUUAUGUUGCUGUGGCCGGAACAUGUGGUGUAGCGGUGAAUGCAUAGAUAUCACAUAGAACACCGAUUGCGAAGGCAGGUCACAAAGCAUACACUGACACUGAGGGACGAAAGCGUGGGGAGCGAACGGGAUUAGAUACCCCGGUAGUCCACGCCGUAAACGAUGGAUACUAGCUGUUGGGUUUUCGGACUCGGCGGCCAAGCGAAAGUGAUAAGUAUCCCACCUGGGGAGUACGUUCGCAAGAAUGAAACUCAAAGGAAUUGACGGGGGCCCGCACAAGCGGUGGAGCAUGUGGUUUAAUUCGAUGAUACGCGAGGAACCUUACCAGGGCUUAAAUGGGAGAUGACCGGGUCAGAGACGACCCUUUCUUCGGACAUCUUUCAAGGUGCUGCAUGGUUGUCGUCAGCUCGUGCCGUGAGGUGUCAGGUUAAGUCCUAUAACGAGCGCAACCCCUGCCGUUAGUUGCCAGCGAGUCAAGUCGGGGACUCUAACGGGACUGCCGGUGCAAACCGAGAGGAAGGUGGGGACGACGUCAAAUCAUCACGGCCCUUACGUCCUGGGCUACACACGUGCUACAAUGGUCGGUACAAUGGGAAGCCACCCCGUGAGGGGGCGCGGAUCUUAAAAGCCGAUCACAGUUCGGAUCGGGGUCUGCAACUCGACCCCGUGAAGCUGGAAU
rnacentral:rRNA from 1 species